rnacentral:rRNA from 1 species
UACAGAGGGUGCAAGCGUUAAUCGGAAUUACUGGGCGUAAAGCGUGCGCAGGCGGCUUUGCAAGACAGAUGUGAAAUCCCCGGGCUCAACCUGGGAACUGCAUUUGUGACUGCAAGGCUAGAGUACGGCAGAGGAGGAUGGAAUUCCGCGUGUAGCAGUGAAAUGCGUAGAUAUGCGGAGGAACACCGAUGGCGAAGGCAAUCCCCUGGGCCUGUACUGACGCUCAUGCACGAAAGCGUGGGGAGCAAACAGG